GACGGGUCGGGCGGGACGGCUACGACUCCCCUCCUUUUUCUGGAACGCCGUUACCCCAAGCGCGGAUUGCGGAGCCCGCUGGGCGCUGAGGAGAGGUAUGCAGGCCAGCACAAUGCGGUUCAGUGCUCUUUAAGAACUGGAAGUGUUACAAUAUUCUGUGGUACUUAGAUGCCCAAGGGAAAGAGAUUUUUAUUAUCAUUGGUCACAGGACUGCCAAAUGUUAUCUCAUAAAUCUGUGUCUUUCACAAUGGAUGAGUGAUCUGCCAUUCUUCUUCAAGAAGAAGAGACUUUGCUACAUCAUCAGCAAACUUCAGGACUUUAUAGAUUCUACAUAAAUUGAUACUUUUGAAAGAAAGUAAGAUACAAUUUUUGACUUCUUUUUGUGAAAUCACCAAAACACUUUGCAAACAUAGAGUGCUAGCUGUCAUAGUGCAGAACCUGUUUGUGUCCUUGUCCUCAGACACAGAUACAAAACCCACUCACCUUAUUUAAAAAAUGUACUAACUACUGUUGCUGCCAGGUUGGUUCCCAGCCAGCCUAGCCAGUUUUCAUGCCUUCCUGCCAAUAAGACAUAUGAAGACUGUUUUGUUUUGUUUUAUUAAUGCGAGCAGGUGUGACUCACUAGGUGAAUUAGCUCCAGCAUGGGUCGUGUUGAAAAUUAUGGUGCAUGUGCCCUGUUGACUUUCUCCUGCAUGGAAACUCCGGUGCCUCCUGGGUUUGUAGGGUACACAGUGCAUUUCCAGACUGAAUCACCCCUCUCAGUCAGCACCACAGUGUAUGCACCACCCUUCUGAGCUCCUGUGCUAAUGUAACAGAUCUUUGCAUACCAAGCAGUCGUUUGCCAAAAUGAACCUGUUUCAUUAUACGCGCUGGUCCUAACUCUGUUCCCAUAAACAAUCUACGUUAUGCAAGUUGUGAUAAUGCCGGGGAUGCUCAACAGUAAACAAUGAGCACAGUCUUCUUCAAACCCAUCCUUAAAUCUCAGCUUUGCAGUAAUGCCUUUCGAAAUCUUGAACGCUCUUUGAUCACUGCUGGUCAUACUGACCAGUAACAUCUCCUUGUAUUCUGUUCCCUCUUUGACAUCUGUUGCCCUUUACAUUUGACGAUUUUUGUAUAAAUACUGCCAUUCUGCUUUGUUCCCUAGCACAAGAAACAGCCCAAUACAAUGGUGGUACAAAUACUAACAAUAGCAUGAGGCAUCUGGUGUCACAUCUGAUUGGGCCCUGAUGUCUUGUCCAUCAGCCUCUUCCUAUUUUGAGACAUGCAAACUCAGUAGGACCACUUGUCCAGAAUCAGGCCUGUAUUUGUGUAGCUGUUCUGUAUUCAGAGGAGGCUCUCAUGAAACAGAAAGUCCUUGCAAACUCUCAAGCGGCACAAUAACCAACUAUCCCUACUAUUGCUGUCACUGCCAUUAUGGCUGUUUUCUUUGACUGCUACCUAUAACAUUAUUUAGGAACAUGCAAAUGAAGCAAAUUAAAAUGUAUCCCUUUUGAUUCCCUUCUGAAGAUUCACCGUUUUUUGACUAAAAAAAUGCUCUGCAACAGUAAGAAAAAGUUGUGUUCAUCAGCAAAUGCUCAUACAAUGCUGUAGAAGUUACAAACAUAAGUUUCUAUUAAACAGUUGCUAUGACAAAAAAACCAGCAUCUCUUGUUUUGUAGUAUGUUUACUGUAUUGUCCUGGUAUACAUCCAUUACUUCAAUUAUCUAAAGAAAGAGGCUUUGAUAGAUUUCGACCCAAUGAUGUGAUCCUUGUGAGAGGCACACACAUGCACUUAUUGUUGAAGGUAGAAAAUGGUUGCUUUGUGCAGUUAUGGUUGUGUAGCUGGGAAUAUAGAUCAGUAGAAGCAGAAAGGCAGCCUAAUCAUGUACUCAUACUAAUAAUGAUUACUUUGUUAAGUGAGUUGAGAUCCAACCUUGGUGGAGGUUUAUCCAGUGCUCUGCAGCAUUUUGACUGGAGAACGACUUGUGGCUUGGGAAAUACAGAU